CCGGAAGUCUGAUGGAGCAACGCCGCGUGAGUGAUGAAGGUUUUCGGAUCGUAAAACUCUGUUGUAAGGGAAGAACCAGUACGUCAGGCAAUGGACGUACCUUGACGGUACCUUAUUAGAAAGCCACGGCUAACUACGUGCCAGCAGCCGCGGUGAUACGUAGGGUGCGAGCGUUGUCCGGAAUUAUUGGGCGUAAAGAGCUUGUAGGCGGUCCGUCGCGUCGGAAGUGAAAACUCAGGGCUUAACCCUGAGCCUGCUUUCGAUACGGGCAGACUUGAGGGAUGUAGGGGAGAACGGAAUUCCUGGUGGAGCGGUGGAAUGCGCAGAUAUCAGGAGGAACACCAGUGGCGAAGGCGGUUCUCUGGACAUUUCCUGACGCUGAGAAGCGAAAGCGUGGGGAGCAAACA
rnacentral:rRNA from 1 species